rnacentral:snoRNA from 1 species
AGGGGGGCAGUGAUGAUACUAUGUUUUGGACUAGAGUUUCUGAUCUGGGUCUCAUACCCAGAAGUUGAAGACUAACCCUUGGCUGUCUGAGCACCCUC